rnacentral:tRNA from 1 species
GCAUCGGUAGUUCAGUAGUAAAAUGCUCGCCUGCCACACGGGCGGCCCGGGUUCGAUUCCCGGCCGAUGCA